rnacentral:rRNA from 1 species
AUUGAACGCUGGCGGCAGGCCUAACACAUGCAAGUCGAACGAGUGGCGGACGGGUGAGUAAUGUCUGGGAAACUGCCUGAUGGCGGGGGAUAACUACUGUAAACGGUAGCUAAUACCGCAUACCAUCAGAUGUGCCCAGAUGGGAUUAGCGAGUUGGUGGGGUAACGGCUCACCCAGGAGAAGAUCCCUAGCUGGUCUGAGAGGAUGACCAGCCACGCUGAGACGGAGACACGGUCCAGACUCCUACGGGAGGCAGCAGUGGGGAAUAUUGCACAAUGGGCGCAAGCCUGAUGCAGCCAGGCCGCGUGUAUGAAGAAGGCCUGCGGGUUGUAAAGUACUUUCAGCGGGGAGGCGUUACCCGCAGAAGAAGCACCGGCUAACUCCGUGCCAGCAGCCGCGGUAAUUC